CAUAAUUCAUAUAUCAAUUUUCAUUCCAGAAAAGUAUCAAUCUAAAAAAUAAAAAGGCCAGUUUCGCCAAUUGUUUCAGAUGGUUUUCUUACAGAAUAAAUGUGUCAAAAAAGGAUUAGCAUAUAUUCACAAUAAAUUUCUAAAGAAACAGUUUAUGGAAUUCAAUUUUCCAACUCUCAUUGUUGCUACUGAACGCCUAACAAUGAGGAAGACAACUUGAAAAGCUUCUUACAACCAGAAAAGCGGGCAGAGGGGAUCAGAACUCAGAAGGCCGAUUUCCGCUUCCUAGACAAGCCUCUUCUGGCUAGCGAUAACUUGGACCUCAUAGGAAUAUUGUCUUCAUCACUAUCUUCGCUAUCCAACACAAUCACAGCAUCCGGUGCCCCCUCACCCAGUUUUACAGCACUGUCUCCAUCACAAACCUCAACAGUGGGCUGCUUCUUACCAGACUUGGCAUCAUUUGCUGGGUACAGAUAUGUCAGAUCAAGAUCUGAUACCUUCUCAGGUUGCAUGAUCACAUUCUCAU
rnacentral:lncRNA from 1 species